GGGGGCCCGCAAGCGGUGGAGCAUGUGGUUCAAUUCGACGCAACGCGAAGAACCUUACCUGGGCCCGAAAUGCAGGAGACCGGGGUAGAAAUAUCCCUUUCUCGCAAGAGACCGCUGUAUAGGUGCCGCAUGGCUGUCGUCAGCUCGUGUCGUGAGAUGUUGGGUUAAGUCCCGCAACGAGCGCAACCCUCAUCCCUAGUUGCCACCGGGUAAUGCCGAGCACUCUAGUGAAACCGCCCCGGAUAACGGGGAGGAAGGUGGGGAUGACGUCAAGUCCUCAUGGCCUUUAUGUCCAGGGCUACACACGUGCUACAAUGGUCGGUACAAACCGUCGCAAAGCUGCAAAGUGGAGCUAAUCGGAAAAAGCCGGCCUCAGUUCGGAUUGGAGUCUGCAACUCGACUCCAUGAAGCUGGAAUCGCUAGUAAUCGCAGAUCAGAACGCUGCGGUGAAUACGUUCCCGGGCCUUGUACACACC
rnacentral:rRNA from 1 species